AUUGAACGCUGGCGGCAUGCCCUACACAUGCAAGUCGAACGGUAGAGGGGGCAACCUCUCGAGAGUGGCGAACGGGUGAGUAAAGCAUCGGAACGUGCCCAGUAGUGGGGGAUAGCCCGGCGAAAGCCGGAUUAAUACCGCAUGAGACCUACGGGUGAAAGGGGGGGAUCGCAAGACCUCUCGCUAUUGGAGCGGCCGAUGUCAGAUUAGGUAGUUGGUGGGGUAAAGGCCUACCAAGCCGACGAUCUGGAGCUGGUCUGAGAGGACGACCAGCCACGCUGGUACUGAGACACGGCCCAGACUCCUACGGGAGGCAGCAGUGGGGAAUUUUGGACAAUGGGCGAAAGCCUGAUCCAGCCAUGCCGCGUGCGGGAAGAAGGCCUUCGGGUUGUAAACCGCUUUUGUCAGGGAAGAAAUCCUUUGAGUUAAUACCUCGGGGGGAUGACGGUACCUGAAGAAUAAGCACCGGCUAACUACGUGCCAGCAGCCGCGGUAA
rnacentral:rRNA from 1 species